rnacentral:rRNA from 1 species
GUGGGGAAUUUUGGACAAUGGGCGCAAGCCUGAUCCAGCAAUGCCGCGUGCAGGAAGAAGGCCUUCGGGUUGUAAACUGCUUUUGUACGGAACGAAACGGUCCUGGCUAAUAUCCGGGGCUAAUGACGGUACCGUAAGAAUAAGCACCGGCUAACUACGUGCCAGCAGCCGCGGUAAUACGUAGGGUGCGAGCGUUAAUCGGAAUUACUGGGCGUAAAGCGUGCGUAGGCGGUGCUGUAAGACAGGCGUGAAAUCCCCGGGCUCAACCUGGGAAUUGCGCUUGUGACUGCAGGGCUGGAGUGCGGCAGAGGGGGAUGGAAUUCCGCGUGUAGCAGUGAAAUGCGUAGAUAUGCGGAGGAACACCGAUGGCGAAGGCAAUCCCCUGGGCCUGCACUGACGCUCAUGCACGAAAGCGUGGGGAGCAAACAGGAUUAGAUACCCGAGUAGUCC